GUCAUUGUCAAUACAGAUCAAAAGCAUAAACAAAAACAACAUAGGACUUACAACAUUUAUUUCUUUCUACUGGCAUAUAAUCCAUAAUCUCUCAUCUGAUCAUCACAUAUAUGCUCUUGUGCCACUACGUGUAAUUAGGGGUGUUCGUUUGGAUGAAUCAAUUUAAUCUGAUCCAAUAAAGUCAAUCCAAAUUGACUUCGGUUUUCAAAACAUGGAUCCGAAUAAUCUAAACUAAAUUCAAAUCUGAUCUGAUCCGAUCCAAUUACAAUUCGGUUGGAUCGUUUUUUAAAAUUCGGUUUUCAAAAGCCGAAACAUUUUAAAACGGUAUAUAAUGAUAGUAUUACCCAAUUUUACACAAGAAGCAAAAACAAAUUAUUUAGUUUUGAUUUGAAAUUUAUAAACAAAUAAUAAGAAGAUAUAUUAUAGUUAAAUAUUUUUAGAUAGAAAAAUUUUCAUAGAAAAUGUGUAGUACUGUUUUUUUUUUGGUGAAACAUUUUGAACCUAUUUGAAAACAUAAAUUACAAAAUUAAUAAAUAGCUAUAUAUAUAUAUUAUAAAUAGAUAAUUUAUAAAUGUUUAUUCGGUUUUUUGGACUAUUCGGUUCUGUUUUAUAAACCAAAACCAAUCCAAAAUAAUAAUUCGGUUUUGUUGAAAACCAAUCCAAAAAUCCGAAUAUCUGAACCAAAUAGUCCAAUCCAAAUUGUCCAAUUGGAUAAUUUGGUUUCAUUCGAAUAGUGAACAACCCUACCCAUGACCCGUUGACCGACCUCGCCCCAACAAAUCGGGGUCCAACACUUCCUCACGUAGAUCAUCUUAAAAGGAGGUCGAUCAAUAUUGGCGUGAUAGUUGUUGUUGUAAAAAAACUUUGCCAAAGGAAUAUACGUAUUCCAGCUCCCACUAAAGUCCAUCACACAUGCCCGAAGCAUGUCCUCCAAAGUCUGGACAGUCGGCUCACUCUGACCAUCAGUCUGUGGAUGNUAUAUUAUAAAUAAAUAAAUAAUAUAUGUUUAUUUGGUUUUUUUGGACUAUUCGGUUCUUAUUUCAUAAACCAAUCCGAAAUCCAAAAUAAUAAUUCGGUUUUGUUGAAAACCAAUCCAAAAAUCCAAACCAAAUAGUCCAAUCCGAUAAUUCGGUUUUAUCCGAAUAGUGAACAAGCCUACCUGUAAUACAAGAAACUGAGUGGGUCAGGCUUGGGGGCCUGGUGAACACAUAGGGUUUUCAACUCACAAUAAUUAAGUUUAUUAAUUUCAUCAAAUCAAUCAACCCGAUUAUUGGUUCCCGUUAUCCUCACUUUCUGUCCCUAAAGCAUCUAAUUCAAGGGACCUAGCUUAAGGAUUUUCAUCGGGAUAAACAAUACUGCUAAGGGUAUUCCUCAAUAAUAUAUGUCUGUAAGGCAACCACUAGACUGUCUAGAAUAGUCUGUGGUCGUCAUCUAUACUCCACUAGAUGAAUGAAUCAACCUAAACACCGAGGUCUCUCAUCAUUUUAUUUCAUCACACAUCAUCUAUUUCAUAUACCCAUCGUCUCCCAACAUAUUUGUAUAUAUAAAAUAGAUACACAGUUUAAGUAAAAGCAUGUAUAAAUCGUUCAUCCAGCAUAAAUAUCAAGAACAUAGAUAAUAUGCACACAUAACACAUAAUUUAUAUUAGAUACUUCAUAUGUAUGUGUAAGAUGAAAGUAAUUAUGCACUCACUUGUUAAAGUGAUGACUCCAAACUCGGGCAGCGCUUCGCUUCUAACAAUUUUAUUUUCCUUCGACAAAACCUAAUAUCAUUAUUACCAUAUUUUAGUCUAAUAUUUAUUGCGUCUAAUUAUUAACUCAAGGUCUACGAGCAAUGUUGGUUUUUCUUGUAUUAUAUAAGUGUUAAACAAUAUUUUUCAACUACUAUGUAUAGAUAGGGGCCAUACAUGAAACAUCGGAGGGCAAGACCAUUUUAGCAAUUAAGCUGUUCUAAAAUCCAACAACUCAAGCGGCCCUUCAAACCAGAUUCCCCAUACAAUGAGUAGUUAAAAGGUAAUAUAAUAGCAUUUAUAAUAUUUACCACAUGUAUUCUCUAUCAAAAAUAUUGUUUAUAGGUUCAUAAUAACGAUAAUGAACUUAAACAUAAGUUAUACUUAGAGUAGGGUAAACAUAACUCACUUACAAUAGGGUUUUAACUAGGAGCCACGCUCUACAGUGUGACAUCCCCAAAAUCACGGCCAGAAAAGACCGAUUUUGUUUAUGCUUUAUAAAAAUCAGAGUACUUCAUUUUAUAAAAAUGUUGCGGAAUUUGUUCCCAGAAAAACACGAUAAAUACGUUAUUAAAACAUUUUCGAAGAAACGUAUUUAUUUCAUUUUAAAACGUUUGGGAUGUCAUUGUUAAUACAGAAACAUAAGCAUAAACAGAACUUACAAUUAUUUACACUAGUGAUCUACAUCUCUUUAAAUCUCUCAGUGUAAUGUCACUUCAUAUCGUCACCUGUGAUGUAAAUAAACUGAGUGGGUCAGGUUGGGAAACCUGGUGAGUACAUAGGGUUUUCAACCCACAAUAAUAUAGUUAUUAUGUUUAAACAAUCAAACAAUCAACCUAAUUACCCAUCCCCGUUAUCUUCUUUUAGUCUUCCCUAAAGAUAUUAUCUCAAGGGUCAUCUCUUAUAUCGUAUUUACUUUUCAUCUCCUUACAUCGUAUUUCCUUAUAUGAUUGUUCUUACGAACUUUACCUAAGGAUCAUCGCCUACAUUGCAUAGACAAUACUAAUCCGGGGAUUACUCCCUCAAUAUGUGUCUAGCAAGAGUUAGGGUAUCAUCGCAUGAUUACGCAGCCACAACAUCGCCUGGACUUGUAAAUCAUGAUAAGGGUUAGUCUAUCAUCGCAUGAAUACGUAGCCACAACAUCGCCUGGACUCGUACUUCAUAAUAAGGGUUAGACUAUCAUCGCAUGAAUACGUAGUUACAACAUCGCCUGAACUCGUAAUUCAUCACCUACAGGUUGCUAGCCUGCUGGUGUUUCCACGGGGUUGUCUAUAAUAGUCCGUGGUCGCCAUCUAUACUCUGGUAGAUGACUACAUCUCCAAAUUGUCGGACAAGGUUGUAGUAUCCUACAUCACCAAUUCAUAGUCACCUAUCUAUCAUCACCUAUCUCUCAUUAUUUUAUUUCAUCACUCACCAACUAUUUCAUCUACCCAUGUUUUAUCCCAACAUAUUUGUAGAUAUAAAAUAAAUAUACAGUUUAAAUCAUUUAAAACAUGUAUAAAUCAUUCAUCCAGCAUAGACAACAAGUAUUCAAACAAUAUGCACACAUAGCACGUAAUUUAUAUUAAAAUACUUCAUAUCUAUGUGUAAGAUGAAAGGGACUAUGCACUCACUUGAAAGGUGGUGAGUCGGCACUCGGACAGCACUUCGUUACUCUUAAAACAAUUAUCCCUUGACGAAACCUAGUAUCAUUACCACUAGAGUUUAGUCUAACGCUUGACGAGACUAAUUUAAUAGUCUAGCUAUUAUUACUAUUAUAUAAGCGUUAAAUAACACUCAAUAUAACUCAUAAUAAUAGCCUAAAUAAUUAUUUUAAGGUCCUAACAAUGUUACUAUAAUUAAAUAAAAUCUAUAUUAAAUAUACUAUAGGCGUAGCUCACUUACAGCGGGUUUUUAUUAAAAACCGGGCUUCGCUGGAGCAGCGUUUCCGAGCCGAAAGCUUUUCUUCUCGGAGCCGUCGGGCGCUCCGGGGCUUUCUUCUCGUGCUAGGGAGGUUCCGUAGACUUGGGAGGGGUUUAGGGAGGCUAGAGAGAAGUUAGAGAGAGAAAGAAAGGCUUAUGGUGUGAAGAAAAUAUGAGGAGUUCACCCUUGUAUUUAUAGGAAGUGUAUAGUAAAGUAGUCUCCAAGCUUCGUCCGUAACUUUUGCAUACGAGCUCCGUUUUUGUCUGUCUUUUUACUGUUGAGUUCCUAUUAAUGAGAUCUUCAACUUUCAUUUAGACCUCGUUGGCUAAUUCUCAUUCUAUCUCGGAUUUACAAAACUGUAUCAAAUUCGCCGCGCUCGAAAAGUAGGGACUAAGCUUCGUCCAUAACUUUCGCAUACGAGCUCCAUUUUUGUCUGUCUUUUUACCGUUGAGUUCCUAUUAAUGAGAUCUUCAACUCUCAUUUAGACCUCGUUGGCUAAUUCUCAUUCUAUCUCGUAUUUACAAAACUGUAUCGAAUUCGCCGCGCUCGAAAAGUAGGGACUAAGCUUCGUCCAUAACUUUUGCAUACGAGCUCUAUUAUCGACGUUCUUUAUAUCCACGCGUUGGUAUUUACGAGUACUACAACUUUCAUUUAGAUCCCGUCGGCUAAAAAUCGACCGAUCUAAAAUUCAGAUUUCGGGCUGUGCACUGCUAUGCUAAAUCUUAGAAAAAUCAUAACUUCCUCAUACGAAGUCAGAUUUGGGCGUUCUUUUUAUCGAUGUUCUUAGUUUAACAUAUUCUACGACUUUCGUUUAGAUCGCUAAGGCUAAAUCUCGCUCUAUCGUAAAUUCACUAUUUACGCUUCCCGGUAUCGUGCCGGUUCCGUCGCGAAACUUCAACGGGUCAUAACUUCUUCGUUAUAACUCGGUUUUCGGCGUUCUUUAUAUGUACGAAAACCUUGUAACAUACUCUACAACUUGAUUAAGAUUAUUUAUUCUAAAUAAUCUUUUGUCGAAAAGUCGUUUUCGACCCCUAUUGCCUCUAAUUUGACUAGCCCAGAUUUGCGGGCGUUACAAUUAUCUCCCCCUUAGGAUGAUUACGUCCCGGAAUCAUCAACGAAACAGGGUCGUAUAAUGACUCCAUACGUCAUCUCUUCAUCCUAGGUAAUAAUUAUAACUUCUACAUUCCUUCAAUUCUAUCUCUUAAACUCAUUGACUGUAAGAGUACUCGAUCGUGCACCUGCUCUCUACCUCAGGUUAGACUCCAAAUUAUGACCUUCAAGUCACAAUCUCGAUCCUUGCUGGAUACGGACUUGAGAUAAGUUCUUUUAUUACUACUAUAGAUCGAUGUGUCAUAUUCUAAUGACCUAUCAUCGUAUGUUGCAACACUUAGACUUAGGUCUCUUAGAGUUAAAUUCUAAAACAGACUAUGCCUUCCUUCAUGUUCUAAUGUGAUAUAAUCACACUUUAACAUUAGGCAUUUCUAGCCACCAACUUCUUUAACAACGAGUGCGAUACUUCUAUUGAUCGCUUUGAUUUCAACCGUUUGGUUUAAGUCGGACGCUACAUCAAACUUGGUUCUCUGAACCACACAACAUACUCAUCGUAGUCGGACUCGAUUCGAUAUGACCACUAGGGUCGGAAUAUCAACAAUCUUCUUAGUCAUUACCGAAACGAUGGUAACAACACACUUGAAUAAAACGAAAUCAAUUACUAGCUUCUUGGUAACCUUGUGACUUUCCCUGAUCCAAGUGUGAGUCCUGUGCUUCCGGUAGUAUAGGCCUCUACUACCAUUCACACCUACUCAUACUCGUCCCAAGUAUUGUCUCGCAGUUUCCCAAGUCACCAUGCAGCGAAUCAACUUAACACAUCAGAUAACGAAACAAAGGUUUUAUAUUAUUUCUUGAAAUGAUUACAUAGGUGUUCAAGUUCACCCUAGGCUAUGCCUCUAAUAGGCUACAUCAUACAAUACUAUGGCUACUGCAUAACUUGAUCUUCGGAUAUGAAGUCCUCAUCCUUGAUUCCUCGCACGGUUUUCUGCUUCGUCGAGGAUCAUGUGAAAUGCCCUUGGUUUCGGCGGUGCAUUUGGUCUUGCAGCUUCGUUUUUCUUUGGACAGUUCUUUGAAAUAUGCCCAUCAUUUCCACAUUCGUAGCACUUCUUGUUUUCGAAUGUACAAUCUCUGGAAUAGUGACCGGUCCUACCACACUUAUAGCACGUCACUUCACCAUCGCAUCUUCCGAAGUGUUUCUUCUUGCACUUCUCACACCACUUGGCUUCAUUCCUUCGGUCGUCCAGGUUAGACUUCGAGAACUUUCCCUUAUUAUCAGGUCUUGAGGAUCCUUCCGACUUCCUCUUCUCACCAACUUCAACUUUCUCCAGACCCUUUUCCCUUAUUUGGGUCUCAACAUUCUUGGCUGCCCAGAUGGCGGCUUUCAAAGUGGUUGCUUGUUUGACCAUUGGACCAAAGUCUGCUGGUAAUCCAUGGGCAAACUUAUUGACCUUGGAGAGUUCAGUUGGAACUAGAUAAGGAACAAGCUUCAUUUUCUCCGUAAAACUUGCAGCAUACUCGAUGACACUCAUCUUUCCCUUCUUUAGAUUCUGAAACUCGUUGUUGAUUUCCAGAAGAUCCUGUUCAGAGCAGUACUGCAUUUUUAGCUGCACCAGAAAAUCCUCCCAUGACAUCUUGUUCGCUUCUCCUUUGGGCAUCGAAUCAGCUAGUAGCUUCCACCAGCUUAGUACUCCAGAUUUCAACAGAGGAACCGCGAGAGCGGUCUUUUGCCUGUUGCUACACUCACAACUCUCAAACAUCGUCUCCAUCUCGGAGAUCCAGUUUAUGACUUCCACCGGCGUCGGGCUUCCAGAUAGACUCGGUGGUUUGGACGCCAUGAAAUCCUUGUAUUUGCAUCCACGUCCAUCAUUUCCUCCAUCCUGGUGGUUUUGCUUAACCAUUGGUGGGUUGGCUUGACCAACAGUCCCACUGUAGUUUCCCUCCUCAGUCUGCCCCUCGUUCAACUCGGGCCGUUCGAUCUGAAUGGUCGCUUCCUCUCGAUUUUGCUGGAGCAAACGCCUGGUUUCCUCCAUUUGACGAUCCAACAUCGCUUGGAUCAUCGCUUGCACUCCGGCCAUUGUGACUGGCUCAGCAGUGGCUUCCAUCACCGGUAUUUGCUCAAUCACUGGGGGUUGGUUUCUGUUCCCAUUUGCAUUUACGUUUCCGCUACGGGUUCUUACCAUCUUGAUCUAUACACCUAAUGAGGUGAAUCUAGACCUUUACUUAGGAUUGACGUUUAAAUCAUCCUUAUCACUCCGAAACGUUUACAUGCUAGUUCUAAUAUCGUAGUCGUACGUUUAGAAUCCUAAACACAUAAGGUUUCCAGAUCCGGUCGGCAACAGACCAUAGAUCCGAUCAAACUAUAGCAUAACAAAUCAUUUAGCACAUAAAAGCAAUUUAGGCAUCAUUCCUAAAAUAAGCUAGUGCUCACACCUCACAAUCAUCGCUUAGCAUUCUAAGUUUAAGUCUAGAAAUAAAUCCAUAUUCCUAGUUCGCUUAAACUAAUGCUCUGAUACCAACUGUGACAUCCCCAAAAUCACGGCCAGAAAAGACCGAUUUUGUUUAUGCUUUAUAAAAAUCAGAGUACUUCAUUUUAUAAAAAUGUUGCGGAAUUUGUUCCCAGAAAAACACGAUAAAUACGUUAUUAAAACAUUUUCGAAGAAACGUAUUUAUUUCAUUUUAAAACGUUUGGGAUGUCAUUGUUAAUACAGAAACAUAAGCAUAAACAGAACUUACAAUUAUUUACACUAGUGAUCUACAUCUCUUUAAAUCUCUCAGUGUAAUGUCACUUCAUAUCGUCACCUGUGAUGUAAAUAAACUGAGUGGGUCAGGUUGGGAAACCUGGUGAGUACAUAGGGUUUUCAACCCACAAUAAUAUAGUUAUUAUGUUUAAACAAUCAAACAAUCAACCCAAUUACCCAUCCCCGUUAUCUUCUUUUAGUCUUCCCUAAAGAUAUUAUCUCAAGGGUCAUCUCUUAUAUCAUAUUUACUUUUCAUCUCCUUACAUCGUAUUUCCUUAUAUGAUUGUUCUUACGAACUUUACCUAAGGAUCAUCGCCUACAUUGCAUAGACAAUACUAAUCCGGGGAUUACUCCCUCAAUAUGUGUCUAGCAAGAGUUAGGGUAUCAUCGCAUGAUUACGCAGCCACAACAUCGCCUGGACUUGUAAAUCAUGAUAAGGGUUAGUCUAUCAUCGCAUGAAUACGUAGCCACAACAUCGCCUGGACUCGUACUUCAUAAUAAGGGUUAGACUAUCAUCGCAUGAAUACGUAGUUACAACAUCGCCUGAACUCGUAAUUCAUCACCUACAGGUUGCUAGCCUGCUGGUGUUUCCACGGGGUUGUCUAUAAUAGUCCGUGGUCGCCAUCUAUACUCUGGUAGAUGACUACAUCUCCAAAUUGUCGGACAAGGUUGUAGUAUCCUACAUCACCAAUUCAUAGUCACCUAUCUAUCAUCACCUAUCUCUCAUUAUUUUAUUUCAUCACUCACCAACUAUUUCAUCUACCCAUGUUUUAUCCCAACAUAUUUGUAGAUAUAAAAUAAAUAUACAGUUUAAAUCAUUUAAAACAUGUAUAAAUCAUUCAUCCAGCAUAGACAACAAGUAUUCAAACAAUAUGCACACAUAGCACGUAAUUUAUAUUAAAAUACUUCAUAUCUAUGUGUAAGAUGAAAGGGACUAUGCACUCACCUGAGUAGGUGGUGACUCAGCACUCGGACAGCGCUUCGAUACUCUCAAAACGAUAUUCCUUCGAUAAAACCUAGUAUCGAUACCACUAGGGUUUAGUUUAACGAUAACCGCGACAAAUUAAUUAGUCCGAGUAUUAUUAAGCGUUAAUAAUACUCGAUAUAACUCAUAAUAAUAGCCCAAAUAAUUAUUUUAAGGACCUAAUAACAUUCCUAUAAUUAUUUGAAAGCUAUAUUAAAAAUUGCGUAAGCGUAGCACACUUACAGCGAAUUUUAUCGAAAACCGGAACUUAAUUGGAGCAGCGUUUCGAAACCGAAAAACUCCUUUUUCUCGGGACUCCGGGAGCCUCGGGGCUUCCCUAGGGUGCUAGGGAGGUUCCCUAGGGUUUGGGGAUGUUUACAACACUUAGAGAGAGAAAGAAGUUAGAGAGAGAGUGAAGAAAGGUGUGUAAAAUGAAGGAAAUUCGGCCCCCUUUUAUAGCCCUGCGAGGCCUCGGUACGCUGGGCGUACCUCGGACCUACGCGGGGCGUAGUCAUCGGAUAAGAGCUCCAGCGAGGUUCCAGCUGUCUCUCACUCGGAAUAGAUCAGGGCGAGGGUACGCGGCGCGUACUGGCUUCGGACGCGGGGCGUAAGCGAGGGCGACGUGUUCUUCAUCCGAGGCGAGAUCUGAUCAGCGAUGGACGGCCCACAAUGCGCCACGUCAUCAGCUCCUUAUCAGCCUUCGCAAAUUGCAUUCUCGACUUCUAAAAAUCAUAACUUUCGCAUAAGAGCUCCGUUUUCGACGUUCUUUAUAUCCACGCGAAGGUGGGAACGUACUCUAAAACUUUCGUUUAGACUUCGUCGGCUAAUUUUGGCUCGAUUUUAAAUUUUAUAUUAUUAACGGGCCGUGACACGAUUUGGUCCGUUAAAUCCUCAUAACUUCUUCAUCCGACAUCCGUUUUCGCCCAUCUUUUUCUCGUUACGCUACUCUCAACGAGAUCUUCGAUUCUCGUUUAGGUCGUGUCAGCUAAAAACCGCUCGAUCAAAUAUUCGAAUUUAGGGCUGUACACUGCUAGUCCGAAACUUCGAAAAAUCAUAACUUCUUCAUACGAAGUCAGAUUUGGACGUUCUUUUUAUCGAUGUUCUUAGUUUAACAUAUUCUACGACUUCCGUUUAGAUUGCUAAGGCUAAAUCUCGCUCUAUCAUAAAUUCAUUAUUUAUGCUCUCCGGUGCCGUGCCGGUUUUGCCGUAAGACUUCGACGGGCCAUAACUUCUUCGUUAUAACUCGGAUUUCGGCGUUCUUUAUAUGUACGGAAACCUCGUGACAUAUACUACAACUUGGUUAAGAUUAUUUAUUAUAAAUAAUCUUUUGUCGAAAAGUCGUUUUCGACCCCUAUUGCCGCUAAAUUGACUAGCCCGGAUUUGCGGGCGUUACAUACAGGGCAUAACUUUUGAGCCGAAAGCUCUUCUUCUUGGAGCCUUCUAGCGUUCUGGGACUCGCCUCUAGCACUUGGGAAGUGCUAGGGAAUCAGAGGGGCUAAGAAGGGUGUUUGAGAGAGAAAGAACGGGAAAUGUGUGAGAAAAAUGGAAUAUUUAUGCCUUUAUUUAUAGGCUGAGAAAUGGCUAAACACGGCGUGUUUCUGAGCCCUACACAACGUGUUGGGGUGCCAAGUGUCACCAUCUGGUGGCAAGGCAUGGGGAGAAAGCAAAGGUCAGGAUUCUGCCACGUGUCACUCGCAGAUUGCUCCAAAAACUAAUUAUCAUCUAAAAUUCGUAACUUUCACAUACGAGCUGCGUUUUUGACAUUCUUUAUAUCCACACAUAGGUAGCAACGAAAUCAACAACUUUUGUGUAGAUUCCGUCGGCUAAUUUUGACUUUAUUUUUAAAUUUAUAUUUUAACAACCUUAGAUAGUUAAAGUCCGUUAAAAAUUCAUAAAUUUGUCAUCCGAUGUCCGUUUUCGUCUUUCUUUAUAUCAUUGAGCUCAUAUUAACGAGAUAUUCAAUUCUCGUUUAGAUUGUGUCAGCUAAAAGUUGAUCGAUCUAAAACUCGUUUUCUGGGUUGCAUACUGUCACGCCAAAUCUUAGAAAUAUCAUAACUUCCUCUAACGAAGUCAGAUUUGGACGUUCUCUAUAUGCACGCUCUUGGUUUAACGUAUACUACAACUUUUUUUUAGAUCGCUAAGGCUAAAAAGUAUAUUAUCAGAAACUCACUUUUUACGAUACACAGCGUCGUACCGGUUUUGUCGCAAAACUUCGACGAUUCAUAACUUCUUCGUUAUAAGUCGGAUUUCAGCGUUCGUUAUAUCUCCUGAAUCCUUGUCACAACCACUUUAACUUUCUUCAUAGAUACUGGGUCUAUUUAUUAUUUUAUUUUUGAUGCAUAUUUUUAUUAUUAUUUUGUUAUAUCACUAUAAACACAUAUGUUGCACAUAAAUCACAUAAAUCACAUAAUACUCAAAUAUUUUUUCUUCAUUACUUCAAAAUAGGUUACAUUUAUUGACCCUAACUAUUACAUCAUAAUAUUAUUGCUUAGCCAGAAACGCGGCCGUUACAAUUAAUAAUUGAACAUGUUAUAUGAAAGUAACAAUGAAAGUGAGGAAAACUCAAGGAAGAAAACUCAAACCUUGAUCAAUUGAUGAAAUCAUGAUGUACAGUAAAAAGCACAAAUUGAAAGAUCUUUAACAAUUGUUGAAGAUGAAGAUUAGCAGAAAUCGACUAAACACUUGAACCUCUACCUUGGAUGAAAUCAAUGAUCACAAAGCUAAAAUCGAUAACAAUCUUGUAAUGAAUUGUUGAUGUCGAUAGAUGAACACAAACCUCAAUCACUCAAAUCGAACCACACAAAAGAUUGAUUAGCCUGAAUCGAAGAUUAAGGAAUGUUGAUUGAUUAGCGUGAAUUGGUAGAAAGAAUCGAAGCAGCUGGGUUUUGUGAUGACGUGAAGAUAAUCCUAACAUUAUGUAUCAGAUCCAAUGAUCUAAAAUUUAACCUAGUCACUAAUCUAUCCCUAAUUAACUAAUCUUUUAGAUUAAUUAGUGUUAAUCGCGUCUUCUUAUGAGCCACAAGAACAAUUUUGAUUAAAGGCUCACACUUGGUCCCCAUGUCUCACAAAAUAUAGUUGGUCUCAAAUGAACCUCUCUCUCUCUCUCUCUCCUUCUCUCUCUCUCUCUCUCUAUAUAUAUAUAUAUAUAUAUAUAUAUAUAUAUAUAUAUANNNNNNNNNNNNNNNNNNNNNNNNNNNNNNNNNNNNNNNNNNNNNNNNNNNNNNNNNNNNNNNNNNNNNNNNNNNNNNNNNNNNNNNNNNNNNNNNNNNNNNNNNNNNNNNNNNNNNNNNNNNNNNNNNNNNNNNNNNNNNNNNNNNNNNNNNNNNNNNNNNNNNNNNNNNNNNNNNNNNNNNNNNNNNNNNNNNNNNNNNNNNNNNNNNNNNNNNNNNNNNNNNNNNNNNNNNNNNNNNNNNNNNNNNNNNNNNNNNNNNNNNNNNNNNNNNNNNNNNNNNNNNNNNNNNNNNNNNNNNNNNNNNNNNNNNNNNNNNNNNNNNNNNNNNNNNNNNNNNNNNNNNNNNNNNNNNNNNNNNNNNNNNNNNNNNNNNNNNNNNNNNNNNNNNNNNNNNNNNNNNNNNNNNNNNNNNNNNNNNNNNNNNNNNNNNNNNNNNNNNNNNNNNNNNNNNNNNNNNNNNNNNNNNNNNNNNNNNNNNNNNNNNNNNNNNNNNNNNNNNNNNNNNNNNNNNNNNNNNNNNNNNNNNNNNNNNNNNNNNNNNNNNNNNNNNNNNNNNNNNNNNNNNNNNNNNNNNNNNNNNNNNNNNUAUAUAUAUAUAUAUAUAUAGCUAGGUUCAUGUGUUUCUUACAUUUAUUGUGUGGUAGAAUGCACCAAUAGGAAUUUAGUAAAUUAAAUAAUUAUUUAAUUAAAUAAAGAUAGAUAUUAAAUUAUUUCCAUAAUUAUAUGUAUAUUAAAUGAUAUUCAUAAUUAUAAUUUUUUUUAUGGAAGCUAAUUAAAUUCAUCAUUAAUAUCAACAAUAACAUUCUUUCAAAAUGAAUUCACAUCUAGGUUUCAGUAUAAGUUCAUGUUUUUUUUCAUAGACUCACUCACUUAAAAUACAACAAAAUUGCAUGAAAUAUGAAGAACGAUAAUGUAUUCUACUAGAAUACACUCUCAUUCUGUUAGAAUAUACUUUCAUUAUUCUAGAAUAAACUUUUAUUCUACUAGAAUACAUUAUCGUUCUCUAUGUUGUAGACAACUUUGUUGUUAUUUAAAGUGAGUGGAUUACAAAACAAAAUACGAACUCAUACAUGAAAAACUAGAUGCAAAUUUAUUCCGAAAGAAUAUUAUUGUUGAUAUUAAUGACGAAUUUAAUUAGUUUCCAUAAAAAAGAAUUAUAACCAUGAAAAUAAUUUAAUAUACAUAUAAUUAUGAAAAUCAUUUAAUUUAAUAAUUAUUUAUUUGAUUAAAUAAUUAUUUAUUUUUUACUAAAUUCUUGUUGGUGUANUCGCACAUAAAAGUGACAAGUGUAGAUGGAAAGUAGAUAUUGUUAAUUAUUAUUAUGAUAAUAUAAUACUAGGUUAUAACCCGUGGAAAACACGGUUAUAAAAUUAAUUAAAAUUUCAUAUUAAAAAAUUAAAUUUAUUAAUUAAUUAUUUUAAAUAAAUUAUUACUUAAGAGAUAUUUUUUUAGUUAUAUAAAAUUAUAAUUGUUGAUUUAAGUAAUUACUUGAUGUUAUAUCACCUUAUAAUCUGUAUUAAUUUUAUUUUAUUUUUCAAUCUAAUGUUAUGAAUUUAAUAUAAUUAGAAUGAGAAAAUUUAAAAUUUGAAAUUAAAAAUGAAGAAUCAAUUAUUAAUCUCUAAAUAUUAUUAAAAGAGAAACUUUAUGACAUCAUCUUAAACAAUCUAGGCAUUUGAUUGUAUUUUAAUCUUAUGUUUUCUACCUUUAGAUUAAAUUGCUGACAGCAUCCCCCCUCCCAAAUAGAAUGUAUUUAACUUCAAUAGAAGCUUUCCAAUUGUCAAACAAAAUUAACUUAAAUCCGUUGAAAUUGAAUGUAUAUAAUUCUAAUAAAAUCAUCCCAUAUUUUAAAUCUUGAAUUUCCGGUUAUAAAGGUUUUAAUAUGGUCAACUUUAAAAACAUAUUAAUAACAAACCAUUUCAAUUAAUGCAUUAAUAUCAACCGUUAAUAUAAAUAUGUUUAUAUUAGUAAAUCAUUAAUGAAAAAUCCAUUUUUAUUUGGAAACCAUCGAUACCAAAAAAUCAGAUUCAAAUUAAUAUAAAAUCCAUUUUUAUUAGGAAUCCACAACUCACAUUUAUUUCUAAUCGUUGUUUUUCUUCAAACCUUCUCCUACAACAUUAUUCUUGUUGUUUAUAACAUUCAUCAUAAUUCUCUACUUCAAACAUUUGUUGUUGUGUAGUAGAAGGUCAGUACAUUCUUUCGCUUUUUAUAUUUUUUUCGAUUAUUUUUUUGUUCCUAUAUCAAAUAUAUGUAUUCAUAUAUUUUGAUUUUCUUUGUCACAAAUUACAUGAAAUCGGUUUAACUAUUUUUCUGAAACUUUUCAAAUAAACAAGAAAAUAUAUUAUGUACCUUUAACAAAACAGAAAUUAACUAUAAUUGGAAUUGAUACUAAUUAGGAAAAUGUUAUUUUUAUAUAUCAUAGAUGAUUAUUAUUUUUUUAAUUAUUAUACCAUAAGAAUCCGGUUAAUUUUGAUAUGAUUUUAAAAUAUUAUGGUAUGAUCCUAUUAUAAUUUUAGAUUGAUUUAGUAGGAAAUAAUAUAUAAUCUAUUUAUUCACCCUUCGAAAUUAAGUAUGGAAACAAUUUUGUUGACAACUAUAAUAGUUUUCAGUACUCUUUAUAAAUCAUACCUCUUUAUAGAUAAACACAUUGUAUAUGUACGUUCUAUUUCAUAUAAAAUUUAUUUAUAAUUCUAAUUGGUUUUCCUUUCAUUUUACACCCAUGGUACAAACCAAUCGUGACGAGAUCGUCUUUGAUAAGGUUGUUGACAUCGAUGCAUCCAAGGAAACCUGAAACAUUCGUGUUCAAGUACUCUUGCUUUGGAAGCAAACUUAAAAAACAACCCAAAUAUGUUCAGCAGCUUGGACACGAUUUUAAUUGACGAGUAGGUACAAUUUUUUUCUUUUUAUUAUUAAGUUUCUUUUAAUUUAUAAAAUUUUAAACUUAACCAAUUUUUUUUUCACUAACAUGACACUAAAAUACAAGCAACAAUAAAAAAAUCUCAUUAGUUCGUUUGAGGCCCUCUUUGUUGAAGGAUCAGUAAGGGAAAUUAGUAGUUUUUGUAUGACCAUAAAUGAAGAAGAUUACAUGCUGGUUGAUCAUAAGCAGAAGAAUAAUUUCUACAAAACAACCAAAGUUCGUAUAUCAAAUGAUUUUACUGUUAUGGUGGAUCCUUAUAAUUUUUCGACUUUCCAAUAUUUUAUAGCGAGGAAUCUCGACACUCGUGUUGCAUUUGGUAAGAUUUUAUUUUAACAUUCUACCUUAUCUACACGCAAGUAUUUAUUGUAUUACACAUCUAUAAUACAAAAAUCGUUUAUUUUUUUGUUCCAGAUUUUCUUGGUCAGGUUGUGUCGACUAAUCCCAUGAAAAUGAUUAUUGAAAAUUCAAGGGAGAAACGGUUGAUGAACCUGGUUGAUUAGGAUCUAAGUUAAGUAUAUGUGUUUAAAACAUUUUAUUUUCUAAAAUAUUUUUCUACAUGAUACCAUAAAACAUGUUGUUUGCAUGAAAAUUACAUGUUCAUCUACACUUCAAUGUACAUGUUUAUUUUAGUAUUACUUAAAACAUUUCGAAUCUGCUAAUUAUAGAAUUUACCUUUUUUCAUACAUGAAAUAAUUCGUUGAUCAUUAUCAAAGGGUCAAUUUAUGAUCUUCUCACUAACAAAUUGGUCAAAUGUGGUUAGAACUCUUUCACACAUUUUUUAUCACAUGUCUUCAUACUUUUAAGUUUUAAAUUUUCAUCUUCAAAUUCCAUUUUUUAGUUACAUACGUUCAUUGAUUUUUUUUGUUUAACAUACCAACCUACUAUGUUUUAUCUUUAUAUUGUAACAAUAAAAUUUAUAAAUUUACACAACAAUAUACAUAUUUCGAAUUUUGUCAUAGUAUCAUACUUUACAAAAUACAUUUCCAUCCAAAAUUAUUUUCGUCGGUAAUUUCAUUCAUAAUUUCACCCAAUUUAAAUUUGUAUUUUCUUUAUAUAAAUUUUUUUAAUGAUCUCGAUUUUUUCCCUCCAAAAGUAUAUCAAACAUUUAUGUCUUAGAUAAUGUUGCCUCCUUAUAAUUAUUACUUUCCAAGAUGUAUUCGUUUAAUGAGGAAUUUAAUUUAGUGAAGGAAGUAAUGUUAAUUCAAACAAGGUAUAUAUUCCAUAAUUAUUACACGAGUUUAUUAAAAAAAUAUCAAGAUGUAAACAUUAAGCAUUUUUAAAAUGAAAUUUCAUAAUACAUACAAACGAUGGUGUUGUAAAAUUAAAAUAUAAAAUUAAAUAGACUGAAAAAAAGCUAUUAAAAGAGUCGAUCUUGAAAAUAAUAUAGUUAUGAAAAAUUAUGAAGUAAGAUAAAAUUAUAAGAUAUUAUGAGAGUUGUAAGUACAAUUCGUAAAAGUGUUACGGUUAUUAGAAAAAAAUAAGAUUGUUAAGAUCAGUAAAAAUACAAUAUAUAAACUAAAUUGUCACAAUAGUAAUGAAAUGUCAUUAUUUGAUAUGUUAUAUAAUUGAAAGAUAUACCAAAUUACAUUGAUGAUAUACUAAAAUUAUUCAACGUUGCGCGAAGACUAAUGCAAAGUUCCUGCGAACCCCAAAAAAAUAAGAACAAAUAUAAAAGCUAGCACGUAUAUUUAUAAUUAAUUUAAAAUAAACCAAUCAUGAUUUGGAAAAGAAUUUUCAUUCAUGAUAUAUUAAAAUCAAAUUCAUAUAACAUUUAACAUUCUAUAAAUUAUACUUUAUGACUUUAUUUGAAUAAAUGAAAUAGUAAAUAUUUAAUGGAGUGGACAAAAUGGUAUAUUGUUUGUCAAUAUGGGCUUAAAUUAAGUAACCUUAUUACGGAAGGAACGUUUAAUUAGAAUACUUAUGCAUAUAUAACAAUAUCAUAACCAUAUGUGACGAGGAAAAUCUUUCAACUAAUAAAGCAAAAAUGGUAUAUAUAAAAAGGUUAAUGAUUAUAGAUAUUUAUCGAUUUCAAUGUAUCUUCUACACAUUUCAAUAAAACCAAUAUCCAUAAUUUUUUUAUAUAAUUAUUAUGCAAUAUCUAUAGACAGUUGUAUGUUUUUAUACGUUUUCCGCGUUGAACGCGGGUUAUAAUCUAGUUUAAUAUAAUUAGAGUGAAAUAUUUAAAAUUUAAAAUAUAAAAUGGAUAAUCAAUUAUUAAUUUAAUGUUAUUAUAGUGGAAAUUUAAAAUUUGAAAUUCGAAUUGUAUAAUUAAUAGGUUGACAAAUGACAUAAUUGGUGAUAUAUAACAUUAAUUAGGAGCUCCAAUUAUACGACACUUGUCAAUAUGAGAUCAAACCUAUUCUUUUAUGAGCUACUUUUUGGUUUGUCAAACAUGAUGACUUAAAAAAGAUCGUAAAAUAAACUAGUUUAUCAACUAGCUGCGACGUGUCAAACAUAGCCUUAAUCAUUAAAACUUUGAUUAUUAUUAGGUUUUAUUAUUAUUAUUAUUAUUAUUAUUAUUAUUAUUAUUGUUAUUAUUAUUAUUAUUUAAAAAUGACAAAAAUUGUUAUGUAACCUUUUAAUUGAAACCAUGAUUGUGGUGAAUAGUCGACUAAAAUGAGAAGAUGAAAUGAUAAAACCAUCUUACUAGAUACUAAUAUAAAUUGUAAAAGAGAUAGAUGAAAUGAUAAAAAUAUUAAAAAUAGGGACCUAACGUGGAUAAAAUUAAAACAUUAUUACCCCUUCUUUAAACGGUUAUAACAACCAUAUUGGUAUAAUAUGUACAAAAAAGACCUUAAAGACCUAGUGUGGACAAAAUUAAAACUUUAUUAUCCUUUUUAAAUGGUUAUAACAACCAUGAUGAUGUAAUAUGUACAAAAAAACCUUAACGACCUAAUAUGGACAAAAUUAAAAUUUUAUUACCCUCUUAAGUCAUUAACCCAUGUGUAGAUGGGUAAUAUUGGUACUCGUUGAUUUGGUUGACUAAAUCUAAGGGAUCUAAAUCCAUCAUUUAUUCCAUCCACAUACAUACUCGAAUAGGACAAAACUUUCACUUGUAAAUUAAGAAACUAUGUUUCUAACAAAAGGAUCGACAUUUUCCACCGACCAAAGAAAAUCUACAAGAUUACACAUCUUGCUUCCUAAAAUAAGAAAUAUUCAGUGAUCAUUAUAAUUAAACCAACUUUGAUGUAAUGCUACCCUAAAACUUGAUAGUUUCUAGUUGUUCAAGCUAUGCAGUCAAGCUUCUUAUCUAGCUAGCCUAUACCCAAAAGCUAAGGAUCCAGAAUUUGGGGGGCUUAAAAAGAUACCUUUAAAUUUAGAAAAACAAGUUUGAAUCAUGACACAAUCUUCAUGUAUUAAGAAGACAAGAAGAAGUUGAUAGUCAAGCAAAUUGGAAAAAGACAUAUGAUACAUACCCUUUAUGCGAUCCAUGUGGUUUUAUUGCAUAGUAGCGGUGUGAAGACGACAGUUGAUUAAAAACCGGAAUGAAGACAAUUUCAUCAUAAGAAACUUGUUGAUAUUGACCGGACCAUGUUGUGUAGCGUGCAGUCAAUAUUUUGUUCUGAGGAAAGGGCAACAUUGCAAGAAACGAAGAGCUUGAGGAUUGCUCUUAUAGUGAGAAAGUAAUCAUGUCACAUACAUAGUGAGACUUAUUUGUAGUGUUUGAAAUUGGUUGUGUUGAUGUGAUUUUUUAUAUACAAGGAAGAUUUGAUACUCAAGUGAUCAAGGAUAUGCUAAAAU
rnacentral:lncRNA from 1 species